CAUAGCACUCUAGACUCACUCACUGGGACUGCAGGGACCUCAUCUGCUAAAUCGUGGGGACCCCCCGGCCGGGUACUCGGGGAGCAGCCACAUCCUCUGGGCAUUACUGGGAGAGUCGGUACCGGGGUUCCAGGUGACAGUGGGGGAGCCAAGGAUGACAGAGAUCCCGGGGGAGCGGCUGGAGGAAUUUCUUGUAUCUGAUGACCUUUUCCUGGAAUAUUUCAACACCUUUGUGGCCCUUCCUG